GAAUGAGAACAAUCAUGAGUGGGACUAGGUGAGAUGGAGGGGUUUUUUAUGGCAGUGCUCGGGAAUGGAGCACAGGGCCUUGUGUGCACCAAGUAGUCUACCACUGAGCUACUACAGCAGCCCAUAAGAGCAUUUUUAAGAGGAUCCACCCAGAUGCCUUUCAUUUUGAGGUUUGUUUCUCUUCUUCAGCUCAUGAAUUUAAAUGAAUUAAUAAUGGUUAAUAUGAACAGUAGCAACUUUUCAUUCUUUUGUGAACUAAGACAUCAUUCUAUUCUUUCUGGUAAUAAAAUUUUUCUUCAGUAAGCAUAAGUGUAUCUCAGGAGAAGCUGGAAUUCACAGGUGGGGAGUCCAACUAAUGCAGCCAAACAGACUGUUGAAUUCUAGCACACUGAAGGAGGAAUUUUCUCCCGGUUGGUUAUACAACAUUUGUAUCAAAAGAAUAUGGCUGGCUAUUUUGUCAGUCUUUUUUUUUUCAAAUGGGCACUAUCGUGUAACUUAUCACAGUUAGUGAUAUGUGAAUUCUCAAAGUCUUCUCAAAAUUAAAAUUUAUUUCCAAAUUAUUUCCCCAAACAAAAAGUUGUUUCAAAAGGAAGAUUGUUGACAUUCUAUUUUUAAUUGCUCUCACACUCCAUUAGAAGGGGUGGUACAGCUGAAAAUAAGGUUGCCUCCAGGCAGAAUGGUGGCAAGGGCUUUAUCUUUAGCUGUGGGAGACCCCUGUCUCCUCCUUUUUUAGCUCUGACAUUUAAUUACCUCUUGUUAUUCGAUGGCUGCGCAAUGUGACCUUUCUAUCCCUUAUCUUCUAAAAUGUACUUUUCUUCUGAGCUUUAAUAUUUCAAAUUCUUUCUUUUUGUCUCCAUGUGGCUUUGAGCCUGAAUCUAACCAGACCAUCGAAUGGAAAUGUGAAGAGUCCACAGCCAGUUUAAUAGUUUAAUCUUCCAGUGUGGGUUUUCUUCUGUGAAAACGCCUCAUAAAAACAUCCAAAAGUGUGCCUCGUGUUUCUGGCCAGGCUCUAAGGAUGUACAGACAUAAAGAUGUAUUUCUCUGCGACCGUUUCUCAGGAAGCUCUCUGCAUGUCCCUCUUCAUCUCAGAAGCCAAUUCCAUGGAACCCGAUCUAAAACAGAUGGAGAUGACAUUCAUGUCGUUUAUAAACACUUAGCCAGAGUAAUCUGGAGGAUGUUUUCAGUAAUAAAUUCAGAGUCACACUUUGAACACGAAAACAAGUAUCUUUUCUUUAUUCCCUCGCCUAUUCUAAACAGAUUCUUCAGUAAUUUGAAC
rnacentral:lncRNA from 1 species